GGAUUGUACCAAAACCUGGACUUUGGACAUCUGCUACGAAUCGGAGCUCUUUUUUGCGACAAAUGAGUCAUUGGCAGAAUUAGUGGCGUACGGCCGCGCGAACAACGUCAACAGCUUUGGGAUAUUCAACGCCGAUGCCGUAACCAAGACUUGGAAGCUGCAUAGACAAUUCCAGACACUGAGUUUCACGCUGCCUGCUGAUGGGUCCAAAGCACAACCAGUACAAGUGGCCGCUCUGGCCGCCGCAGGCAGCGCAAAUACUCCCGUCAGGUCGGAGCAAUCAUCUGAGCCCAGCUGCACUCAACAGUCUACAGAGAAGACAGAAAAACACUUCGGAAAUUCUGUCCCGGACGCCGGAAAAAGAUCCAUCGCUACCUGGAAAGCGACCGCGUCGGCUAUGGGAAAGACUUCCGCGAGCGUAACUGAACCUGGCUACGCAGAUGAUUACACACAGUCUUCCAGAGACCGUUCUCCAACCGGCCACGUUCCA